rnacentral:tRNA from 1 species
GCCCUGGUGGCAUAACAGUUAAGCACUUGGCUGCUAACCAGAAGGUUGGUGGUUCAAAUCCAUUCAGCAGCU